GCCUAGUUAGCUUGGUUGGUAGCGCGUCUGCCUUGUAAGCGCUAGGUCGCGGGUACGAUUCCCGCUCGGGGCG
rnacentral:tRNA from 1 species